ACGAACGCUGGCGGCGUGCUUAACACAUGCAAGUCGAACGGUGAAGUCCCUUCGGGGGCGGAUCAGUGGCGAACGGGUGAGUAACACGUGGGCAAUCUGCCCCUCACUGUGGGAUAACUCCGGGAAACCGGGGCUAAUACCGCAUAUGAAGCCUGGCGGCAUCGCCGGGUUUGGAAAGUUUUUCGGUGAGGGAUGAGCCCGCGGCCUAUCAGCUUGUUGGUGAGGUAAUGGCUCACCAAGGCGACGACGGGUAGCCGGCCUGAGAGGGCGACCGGCCACACUGGGACUGAGACACGGCCCAGACUCCUACGGGAGGCAGCAGUGGGGAAUAUUGGGCAAUGGGCGGAAGCCUGACCCAGCGACGCCGCGUGCGGGAUGAAGGCCUUCGGGUUGUAAACCGCUUUCAGCAGGGAAGAAGCGAAAGUGACGGUACCUGCAAAAGAAGCACCGGCUAACUACGU
rnacentral:rRNA from 1 species